UAUCAUUAACUGAAUCCAUAGGUUAAUGAGGCGAACCGGGGGAACUGAAACAUCUAAGUACCCCGAGGAAAAGAAAUCAACCGAGAUUCCCCCAGUAGCGGCGAGCGAACGGGGAGGAGCCCAGAGCCUGAAUCAGCAUGUGUGUUAGUGGAAGCGUCUGGAAAGGCGCGCGAUACAGGGUGACAGCCCCGUACACAAAAGCGCAUGUGCUGUGAGCUCGAUGAGUAGGGCGGGACACGUGGUAUCCUGUCUGAAUAUGGGGGGACCAUCCUCCAAGGCUAAAUACUCCUGACUGACCGAUAGUGAACCAGUACCGUGAGGGAAAGGCGAAAAGAACCCCGGCGAGGGGAGUGAAAAAGAACCUGAAACCGUGUACGUACAAGCAGUGGGAGCCCCACCACUAAGCCAGUGGUGAACUCCACAUCCGCAUCCUUUGCUGAGGAUACGGUUAACGGAGCGAAAGCGACGUUCAACCGCAAAACAAGCAGAGGGGGCUUAGUGGUGGGGUGACUGCGUACCUUUUGUAUAAUGGGUCAGCGACUUAUAUUCUGUAGCAAGGUUAACCGAAUAGGGGAGCCGGAGGGAAACCGAGUCUUAAU
rnacentral:rRNA from 1 species